rnacentral:lncRNA from 1 species
GCUCACAAGACACACGCACAAAGCUAAUUAAGCACGGGAGUAACAACCGCUGGCAGAACAUGUGACAAAUUUCCGGGUGGAUAUUCAUCGAAUCCACGAUACAAAAAGAUAGUACAUGAUAGUUGCGCUACAACGAAACUGGAAUUGAAGAAAAUUAAACGAAACUGGAUUACUGGAAUUGAAGAAAAGUAAAACGAGCUAAGAUAAAUCAUGGACGGCACAAUUCGCUAUUGCAUGCCUAUCCUAGUUAACCGCUGAAUCUUGCACGGCCGGGGGGAUGGAGGGAUCCCCGCCGUCGCGUUUCACGUCGCCGACGUGAUUGACGUCCGAUCCGAUCUCCUCUGCGCGAGGAACCGAUCCAGCGACCUCAGGAGCGACGGGGGCAGCAGCCUUCUCCAUCUCCAGAAGCUUCUUGGCCCAG